rnacentral:rRNA from 1 species
UUCGCAAUGCCCGAAAGGGUGACGAAGCGACGCCGCGUGUGGGAAGAAGGCCUUCGGGUUGUAAACCACUGUCGGGAGUUAAGAAAUGCAAGAAUGUUAAUAGCGUUUUUGCUUGACUAAGGCUCCGGAGGAAGCCACGGCUAACUCUGUGCCAGCAGCCGCGGUAAUACAGAGGCGGCAAGCGUUGUUCGGAAUUAUUGGGCGUAAAGAGCACGUAGGCGGCUAUAUAAGUCGGUUGUGAAAGCCUUCCGCUCAACGGGAGAACAGCAUCCGAUACUGUAUGGCUUGAGUGUGGGAGGGGAGAGCGGAACUUCUGGUGAGCGGUGAAAUGCGUAGAUAUCAGAAGGAACGCCGGCGGCGAAAGCGGCUCUCUGGUCCGUAACUGACGCUGAGAGUGCGAAAGCUAGGGGAGCAAACGGGAUUAGAUACCCCGGUAGUCCUAGCCGUAAACGAUGGGCACUAAGUAGAGGGGUUUU